AGCUCCAAUAGCGUAUGCUAAAGUUGUUGCAGUUAAAAAGCUCGUAGUUGGAUUGAACUUAUAAGAGGGAAGAGGAGUGAGAAAUUACUGCUCGGACCGAUUAUAAGAGAAAUCAUCAGACAAGAGUAAAAACUUGUAGGAUGAGGUUUACUUUGAGUAAAUUAGAGUGAUUCAAGCAACCUGUAAUUGGGGUUUUGAAUAUUUUAGCAUGGGAUAAUGGAAUGAUUGAUUCAAUUACAACGAUAGAGAAUUGAUUGGUGAUUGAAUGGAUAAUGAUUGAUAGGAGCAGUUGGGGGCAUUUGUAUUUCGUUGCUAGAGGUGAAAUUCUUGGAUUUACGAACGACAAACUUAUGCGAAAGCAUUUGUCAAAGAUGUUUUCA
rnacentral:rRNA from 1 species